AUGUCCUUUUCAACAUUUCAUUCAAAUGUACGCCCUCCUUCCCAAAUUGGUAUAGUUCAUAAUUUGGUGUACUUCCUUCUAAAAUUGUUACUGAUUCUACCGGUGCCAACGACAAAUGUUGAGAGAGCAUUUUCUGCCAUGAGUUUAGUCAAGAGCAAGUUAAGAAAUAAGAUGGGUGAUAGUGUUUUGGAUGAUUGGCUAGUCACAUACAUUGAGAGAGAUGCUUUCUCCGAGGUGAAUGAAGGUGAUAUAAUCGAUACCUUCAUGGCAAUGCAAAAGGAAACAUAG
rnacentral:rRNA from 1 species